GCCUGGUGAGCUGGCUUGGGAGUCUGACCGCUGCGGGUGUGGCAGCUGAUGGACCAGCUGCACUGAAAGGUGCAGUUCCUGGGCUGCUUCAGGACCACUCACCUCCUCCUGGGGCUCUGGGCAGGCAUUUUCCCUCUUAUCUUAAAGCCUUUAUGGACCAUGCCUCAGACAACAAACACAGUAUCCUAAGUUGAAUGUUUUCUGUCAAUAGCUCUGAUCUGCAAGGUUUUAUUUCAACUUCCUCCUGUCUUCCCACUGCCCCUACCCAGGACUGUACUGUGCAGUAAAUCACUUCUCCAUCAUCAAUGGCUUUCAGCCUAAACGGACUAAGACACAUUUGUCUUAUCACUGACCACAUGAAAGCCAGGAAAUACGUCUGCUGAAGAUGCAGGAUUAUCUUCUUCAAGUUACUAGUUGUUUAAGAAGACUGGACUCAAAGACAAUGAUUUACUGCCCACUGCUGCAGAAGGCACAUACUUGUAUUACUCUGUGGAAUCAUGACUUUUCACUGAGAUCAAACAGUGUCCUAAACUAAUUUUGCUAAUUUUGAAUUCCAAGUUUUCUUGCGCAUGUGUGAAAAGUGAACUUGUAGCUGUUACUUUAUUAGCACUAUUAACAAGAGAAAUUUGCAAACAUUUAAAAGAUGCAGAUUUUAUAUCAGUGUCUUUGGAUAUUUCAAGUACAAAAUCAAUUAAGUCCAAUAAUUCGAUUUUGUUCCCAUCUAGUGCAUGGAAUCAAAAUAAG